UACGUAGGAGGCAAGCGUUGUCCGGAGUACUGGCGUAAAGCGCACGCAGGCGGUCCUGUCAGUCUGUAGGGACAGGGCACAGCUCAACUGUGUCAGGCUUACGGAAACUGCAAGACUUGAGGGCUUCAGAGGGAUGGGGAAUUCCGGGUGGAGUGGUGAAAUGCGUAGAGAUCCGGAAGAACACCAAAGGCGAAGGCACCAUCCUGGGGAGUCACUGACGCUCGGGUGCGAAAGCUAGGGGAGCGAACGGG
rnacentral:rRNA from 1 species